CCCUUAGAUGUUCUGGGCCGCACGCGCGCUACACUGAUGCAUUCAACGAGUUUCUUCCUGGUCCGAGAGGAAUGGGUAACCUUUUGAAAGUGCAUCGUGAUAGGGAUAGACUAUUGCAAUUAUGGGUCUUCAACGAGGAAUUCCUAGUAAACGCAAGUCAUCAGCUUGCAUUGAUUACGUCCCUGCCCUUUGUACACACCGCCCGUCGCACCUACCGAUUGAAUGGUCCGGUGAAAUCUCGGGACGGCGGCUUGGUCGCUUGCGUCCGACUGCUGAAACUUGAUUAAACCAUAUCAUUUAGAGGAAGGUGAAGUCGUAACA
rnacentral:rRNA from 1 species